rnacentral:rRNA from 1 species
CGUGCCUAACACAUGCAGUCGAGCGAAGUAAUUAUCUUUGAUCCUUCGGGUGACGAGAUAAUUAUCUUAGCGGCGGAUGGGUGAGUAACGCGUGAGAAACCUGCCUUUCACAAGGGGAUAGCCUCGAGAAAUCGGGAUUAAUACCCUAUGAUACUAUUAAGUCGCAUGACUAAAUAGUUAAAGCGUAAAGCGGUGAAAGAUGGUCUCGCGUCCCAUUAGUUAGUUGGUGAGAUAAAAGCUCACCAAGACUACGAUGGGUAGCCGGCCUGAGAGGGCGACCGGCCACACUGGAACUGAGACACGGUCCAGACUCCUACGGGAGGCAGCAGUGGGGAAUCUUGCACAAUGGAGGGAAACUCUGAUGCAGCGACGCCGCGUGAAACGAUGAAGGUUUUCGGAUCGUAAAGUUCUGUCCUAGGGGGAAGAUUAAUUGACCGUUACCCUAGGAGCAAGCACCGGCUAACUACGGUGCC